UUCUAGCNUCAGCCGGUUUCAUGCAAGUCGAGCGGAUGACGGUCGGCGGGCGUGAGUAAUGCCUAGGAAUCUGCCUGGUAGUGGGGGACAACGUUCGAAAGGAACGCUAAUACCGCAUACGUCCUACGGGAGAAAGCAGUGGUGACCUUCGGUGCCUUGCGCUAUCAGAUGAGCCUAGUGUCGGAUUAGCUAGUUGGUGGGGUAAUGGCUCACCAAGGCGACGAUCCGUAACUGGUCUAGAGAAGGACUGAUUCAGGUUCAACAAUCUUGUGAACUUGAGAACAACGGGGUUCCCAGUGAACUCCCUUAACGGUGGGGAACGGGGGCCAA
rnacentral:rRNA from 1 species